rnacentral:rRNA from 1 species
UAGUGGCGCACGGGUGAGUAACACGUGACUAAUCUACCCUCGAGUGGGGAAUAACUGAGAGAAAUCUUAGCUAAUACCGCAUAACACUUACGAGUCAAAGCAGCAAUGCGCUUGGGGAGGAGGUCGCGGCCGAUUAGCUAGUUGGCGGGGUAAUGGCCCACCAAGGCGAUGAUCGGUAUCCGGCCUGAGAGGGCGCACGGACACACUGGAACUGAAACACGGUCCAGACUCCUACGGGAGGCAGCAGUGGGGAAUUUUGCGCAAUGGGGGAAACCCUGACGCAGCAACGCCGCGUGGAGGAUGAAGUAUCUCGGUACGUAAACUCCUUUCGAUGGGGAAGAUAAUGACGGUACCAAUAGAAGAAGCCCCGGCUAACUUCGUGCCAGCAGCCGCGGUAAUACGAGGGGGGCAAGCGUUGUUCGGAUUUAUUGGGCGUAAAGGGUGCGUAGGCGGUUUGGCAAGUCUUGUGUGAAAUCUAUGGGCUCAACCAUAGCCUGCACGAGAAACUACCGGGCUUGAGUGAUGGAGAGGUGAGUGGAAUUUCCGGGUGUAGCGGUGAAAAUGCGUAGAUAUCGGACAGGAACAC